CAAUAGCGUAUAUUAAAGUUGUUGCGGUUAAAAGCUCGUAGUUGGAUUUCUGCGGGGGACGAACGGUCUGCCUUAUGGGCAUGUAUCUGUCAGGCCUCUGCAUCCUCGUGAAGAACGUCGCUGCGAUUCAUUUCGUGGUACGGUAUUCACGACUUUUACUUUGAGGAAAUUAGAGUGUUCACGGCAAGCAAUCGCUUUGAAUACAUUAGCAUGGAAUAAUAAUAUAGGACCUUGGUACUAUUUUGUUGGUUUCUAGAACUAAGGUAAUGGUUAAUAGGGACAGGUUGGGGGCAUUCGUAUUAACGCGUCAGAGGUGGAAUUCUUGGAUUGCGUUACGACGAACUACUGCGAAAGCAUUUGCCAAGGAUGUUUUCAUUGAUCAAGAACGAAAGUAUGGGGAUCGAAGACGAUCAGAUACCAU
rnacentral:rRNA from 1 species